rnacentral:lncRNA from 1 species
GGAAUAGCAACAUGGUUAAAAUAAGAGAGCCUAUGAAUAAGAAGGAAGCAGCUGUCAGGGACGUAGAAGCAGAACCAAGAGAAUAUAGUGGGAAAGAUCAUUAAAGAGGUUGGGGGCCCAUGCUGCUGGAGGCUUUAGUAAUAUAGACAUGGAAAAACUUCCAUUCACUUCUCAAUUCACUUCUUCUUCCAUUCACUCUCAAAGUCAUUGGUAGGCCCAUCAAAAAUAACUCCCCAAAACAUGGACCAGUAGAAAGGGGCAGAAGCCACGGGGCAUUAGUCUUAGGAACAAACGGGAGAUGGCCAAGUGGGGGAGAGAGUGAAGACAGUCUAGAAGGGGUUAUGGAAGAACACCACCCCACCCCCAAGGAGAGCAGCAGAGGAUCAGGAACCCAUGCGAGAAGGUACUGGAGAUGCAUCACUAAACAAAACAUAUUUCUAUCUUCAUGGAACUUACAUUCUAGGUGAGGAGAGAGUGACAAGAGACAUAAUAUGUGAAUUCCAUGGUUUGUAAGAAGAUGGUAGAAGCUGGAGGAUAAAAGAAAAACCAGAGUAGACAUUUGUUAAGAAAUCAAAUCCAGAGGCAUGACUUGUAGUUCCAGAUGUCCCAGAAGACAGAAACUUGUGGAUUCCUUGAUCAUGACAGCAUUGAAAUUCUGAGCUCAUCUAGGGGCCAAGAGGAGGCAGUGGGCUUUUCUUAUCACGUGAGUGUGAGUAGCUUCUCUUCCCACUGCUGAGUUCUCCAGAGAGCUACCACUUGGCAAACAGAAUAGCAUACUUAUCAUGAAGCUUCAUCCUCACCUGUUGCAUUAAGCUGCAUUGUCUUCAAGCCUCUUACCUCCUCAUGCAUGUGACUUCUAGGGGACUCAAGUUCAUGUGAAUUUUAUCAGUAAAUUUUUUAAAAAAUAAUAAUGUGUAUUAAUAUUUCUAAUAGGUUAUUAAUAAAGCCACACUCUCUCUAAAAUGAUUGUUUUAUGCCAUCAAACAAAUCCAUAUGGAGGUUUCUUUCAGUGUUAAGCUUCAGUCUACUUGUCUUAUGGUUUUACUGAUAUUACUUUAGCACAGGCUAAGAGUUGACAGAAAAAAAUGUAAUCCAUUCCCAAGCUAGAAUCCAGGCAGGUAAAAUCUCUCAUGUCAGAUUUCAGACACUCUAUCCACAUGAACAAUAGAAUGAAAAGGAAAAAAAGGUCUGUGGUCUUAUGGUUCACAGUAGUAUUUGGAAGAAAAGAUGCAUAUUGAAUGAAUGUAAGACAAAUAUUAGGUGGUGUUUGCAUAAUUGAUAGAAUGGAACUGUGUAAGAUUCUGAACUUAUUAAAUGGAAAUAUCUAUUUUGGCCCAUCCAAG